UGCUAGAAGUGACUGCAGAAGCAGUGAUGGGU
rnacentral:piRNA from 1 species